AAACUUUCAGCAAUGGAAUGUCUUGA
rnacentral:rRNA from 1 species